rnacentral:rRNA from 1 species
UACGUAGGGUGCAAGCGUUGUCCGGAAUUAUUGGGCGUAAAGAGCUCGUAGGCGGUCUGUCACGUCUGCUGUGAAAACUCGGGGCUUAACCCCGGACUUGCAGUGGGUACGGGCAGACUAGAGUGUGGUAGGGGAGACUGGAAUUCCUGGUGUAGCGGUGAAAUGCGCAGAUAUCAGGAGGAACACCGAUGGCGAAGGCAGGUCUCUGGGCCACUACUGACGCUGAGAAGCGAAAGCAUGGGGAGCGAACAGG